rnacentral:rRNA from 1 species
UACGUAGGGGGCAAGCGUUGUCCGGAUUUAUUGGGCGUAAAGAGCUCGUAGGCGGUUCGUCGCGUCGGCUGUGAAAUCCCGAGGCUCAACCUCGGGUCUGCAGUCGAUACGGGCGGACUGGAGUUCGGCAGGGGAGACUGGAAUUCCUGGUGUAGCGGUGGAAUGCGCAGAUAUCAGGAGGAACACCGGUGGCGAAGGCGGGUCUCUGGGCAGUAACUGACGCUGAGGAGCGAAAGCGUGGGGAGCGAACAGG